rnacentral:rRNA from 1 species
UGGGGAAUAUUGGACAAUGGGCGAAAGCCUGAUCCAGCCAUGCCGCGUGUGUGAAGAAGGUCUUCGGAUUGUAAAGCACUUUAAGUUGGGAGGAAGGGCAGUAAGCGAAUACCUUGCUGUUUUGACGUUACCGACAGAAUAAGCACCGGCUAACUCUGUGCCAGCAGCCGCGGUAAUACAGAGGGUGCAAGCGUUAAUCGGAAUUACUGGGCGUAAAGCGCGCGUAGGUGGUUCGUUAAGUUGAAUGUGAAAGCCCCGGGCUCAACCUGGGAACUGCAUCCAAAACUGGCGAGCUAGAGUAGGGCAGAGGGUGGUGGAAGUUCCUGUGUAGCGGUGAAAUGCGUAGAUAUAGGAAGGAACAACAGUGGCGAAGGCGACCACCUGGGCUCAUACUGACACUGAGGUGCGAAAGCGUGGGGAGCAAACAGG